rnacentral:rRNA from 1 species
GUCCACGCCGUAAACGAUGAAUGUUAGCCGUCGGGCAGUAUACUGUUCGGUGGCGCAGCUAACGCAUUAAACAUUCCGCCUGGGGAGUACGGUCGCAAGAUUAAAACUCAAAGGAAUUGACGGGGCCCGCACAAGCGGUGGAGCAUGUGGUUUAAUUCGAAGCAACGCGCAGAACCUUACCAGCCCUUGACAUGUCCGGCUACUUGCAGAGAUGCAAGGUUCCCUUCGGGGACCGGAGCACAGGUGCUGCAUGGCUGUCGU